rnacentral:rRNA from 1 species
UACGUAGGGGGCUAGCGUUGUCCGGAUUUAUUGGGCGUAAAGAGCGUGUAGGCGGCCAGAUAGGUCUGCUGUGAAAACUCGAGGCUCAACCUCGAGAUGUCGGCGGAAACCAUUUGGCUAGAGUCCGGAAGAGGAAAGUGGAAUUCCUGGUGUAGCGGUGGAAUGCGCAGAUAUCAGGAAGAACACCAACGGCGAAGGCAGCUCGCUGGGACGGUACUGACGCUGAGACGCGAAAGCGUGGGGAGCGAACAGG